AAAUGGCCUUUGGGAAAUGAGAGAGAGGUGGGGGGUUAAAAAAAUUGAUUUUUGUUUGGAGGUUCUAGCAGGGGAGCUCAGGUAUCAUAUACCCUUGACCGAAGAACGGUACACUCCUUCUAUCUGGGAUGGUCGUCCUCUUCCACCGAGCGCGCAGCUUCGGGAGGGACGCACAUGGAGCGGUUUCUUAUUUUUUCUUUUUUGCCUUUUUUUCUUUUUCUUAUAUUACAUGCUUUUUAUAUCUAUUUGUAUUUGUUAUAAAACCAAUAAAAUAUACUUUUUUAAAAAAUUGAUUUUUAAGGGGGGCAAUUUGGAAGUUUGUUUAUACCAAGUUAAUGGCAUUUUAGGCUUCCUCCACAUGAAUAGGAACCUGUCUUCAAGGACAGUCCCAUGUAGAGUGUAUUCCAGUAGUCCAAGCAGGAAGACAGCAUGAACAACUGAGGUCGGGCAACCUGGUCCAGAAAUGGCUGUGGUUGGUGAACUAGCCUAUUUUAUAAUCAUAAUCAUAAUAUAUUCAAAAGCUCCAAUAUAGCUUUGUCCACUGCCAUAAUUAUCACAGAAUGAUCACCCCAAUCCUCAAUCCCAUUUCACUGCCAUGUUGGCUCGCUGAAUAUCCUCAAUAGGAACCCAACUGGCGUAAGUUGGCCAUGAAGCACUCCUAGCUACAGAAAAGUGAAAAUUUUGAAUCCAGGUGUGCUCCUAAAUUAUGAGCUGGAUUCUUCGAGCGGAGCAUAACCUCUCUCAGAGUAGGAUGUGCACCUAAAUUCUCAGACACAUGAACCACCCAGUCGCAACACUUCUGCCCUAUCUGGGUUCAGUGUCCGUUUAUUGAGCCCUCAAUUCAUUCCAUCACUGCCCCAAGGCACUUGUUCAACACCUUCACAGCCUCUUCUGUUUCCAGUGGAAUGGAGAGUUGGCAUUGCGUAUCGACAGCAUACUGAUGACACCAUGCUUCAAAUCCCCAGAUGGCAGCUCCCAACAGUUUAAUAGGAAACAGAGCGGACCUUUUUGGGACCCCACAGCCCAAAAGCCGCGAGCCAAGCAACGACCCCCUGGGAGUGACGAUGCAGAGAUCAUCAAUCAGGGAGACCAAGGCCACUACUGGGCCUGAAACCAGGCUGGAAGAGACCUAGAUCCCUCUCCAAGCAUACCUGCAACUGACUUUCUACAACCUUGUCCAUGAAAACAAUAUUAGAGACUGGAUGGUAGUUUCCCAGAAUCUCUAGAUCCAGAGAGGACCUCUUUGAGAGGGAGUAUACCACUGCCUCCUCCAAGGUGUUGGGCAUAAUGCCCUCCUGCAGUUGUGGAGAGUUUUUACCAUUGUACCUCUUUGUGACUGAAUAUUCUGUCGUCUUGUUGCAAGUUCCUUGGACUCUCUUCUGGGCUCCCUUGUGUUUGCUAGUUGUUGUAAGCCAGGAUUAGUGAGAUGCUACGUAUAUGUGAGCGUUCUCAAAAAUCUGAAAGCACUUUGAAAGCUGCCUGUGACAUGCUCUAUGGGGGCACUGUGGCCCCUUCUCAAUCUUACAAGCUUCAAAUUCAAUCAUCCUUAAAGAGAUCCAGAAAAUUCAAGCGCCUAACCAGCAUCUAGAUGUUCUAGAUGUCAAGGUCCGCUCCCAAACUAAGCAUUUGAAAUUCCUGGGAAGAUAAAUAACACAGCCUCAAGUUUAAUUGCUGAGAUUGGCAGCGGAAACCAAGCUCUCUGUCAGGUGUCGUCACUUUGCCGUUUUGCUUUCUUCUUCACGUUACAGAAGCUGACACAGCCUGAUCUUGUACCGUAGCUCCAGAUCUAAGUCUUGCAGCUGUUUCAGGAACCCUCGGUUCGGGGAGAUGGCUCGAUUCUGCAGGACCUUUCCGACGGCGUCAGCCAGAGAGAAGUUCUGACAGAUCAUGAGAAACUUCUCCAUUGCUCCAUCCCGAGGCACUCACCGUUUGGUACACUUAGGGCUUUGGUGAUGAAUUCGGAGGCAGGGCGGAAAUGUACGCCGAGGUCAAAGUCUGGGGAGUCUUCUGCUGCUAUUCCGUAGUAAUGGAACUCUGUUCCAUAGAACGCUUGGCUACCUUUGCUUCCCCAGGCAGCAUGUGCUGCAUUCAAUAUCUGUCCAUCACAUGCUCCAACUCUUUGACGGAGGGUGCGGCGGAUCUGCGGCUGAUCAUUUUGCAAAAGGAGGCGGUCGUCUUUGGAAAUGGGUCGUCCGCUGCCAUGCGAUGAUACACAGUCGUUGCAGAGCCCCAAUGAGCUCCAGUUACCUUUCGACAUUUGACAGGGAGAAGCAGUUGCUUCAGAAACCCUUGGUUGGGGAAAAUCCACCGACGUUCUUUCACUGCCUGAAUGGCUUUAACCAAAGAGAAGCAAUGGUAAAUUAUGAGAUACGCCAGCACCAGCGAAGACGACCGGCUUAUCCCCACUGCGCAGUGCACUAAGAUUUUGCCUGAAAAUGAAGUAGACCACAUUUUUUUUAUCAUCUUAAAAGAUGGCAUUUUUAAACUAGAGAGAAGACAGAAUUCAACUAUUUCUGAAACAGGUACAUUUAACUUUCUGCAGUUACAGUAAUACUGGAUAAAUUUAGUCAAUUCUGAUAUUAUCUUCAUUCGUGCCUAAAUGUGGGGCCCUACAGUACAUCGUUUGUGUCAAGUUAAUGGAAAUCUUCUUGGGCUUACUUCACAGUUUAGCUAAAAUCAAUGUUUGGCAGAAAUUAAUAAUUGUUCAGAUUUUCAGUAUAUAUGCGUGUGUGUGGUGAUCUUUUUCUUUAAAAAUGUUUGGGGGUACUCUCAUUUUGACUCAAGAAAAAUCACCAUUUUAUAGUUCAAACUAGCUGGCCCGACCACACAUUGCUGUGGCUCAUUCCUGUGACUCCCCCCACUCUGUCCUGACCCAUGACCUAUUCUGCCCCUCCUCCUCUCACCCCCAGUUCAUCGCUGUGACUG